rnacentral:rRNA from 1 species
UACGAAGGGGGCUAGCAUUGUUCGGAAUCACUGGGCGUAAAGGGCGCGUAGGCGGCUUUAUAAGUCGGGGGUGAAAGCCUGUGGCUCAACCACAGAAUUGCCUUCGAUACUGUAGAGCUUGAGACCGGAAGAGGUAAGUGGAACUGCGAGUGUAGAGGUGAAAUUCGUAGAUAUUCGCAAGAACACCAGUGGCGAAGGCGGCUUACUGGUCCGGUUCUGACGCUGAGGCGCGAAAGCUAGGGGAGCAAACGGG